rnacentral:rRNA from 1 species
AUUGAACGCUGGCGGCAGGCCUAACACAUGCAAGUCGAGCGGAUGAAGGGAGCUUGCUCCUGGAUUCAGCGGCGGACGGGUGAGUAAUGCCUAGGAAUCUGCCUGGUAGUGGGGGAUAACGUCCGGAAACGGGCGCUAAUACCGCAUACGUCCUGAGGGAGAAAGUGGGGGAUCUUCGGACCUCACGCUAUCAGAUGAGCCUAGGUCGGAUUAGCUAGUUGGUGGGGUAAAGGCCUACCAAGGCGACGAUCCGUAACUGGUCUGGGAGGAUGAUCAGUCACACUGGAACUGAGACACGGUCCAGACUCCUACGGGAGGCAGCAGUGGGGAAUAUUGGACAAUGGGCGAAAGCCUGAUCCAGCCAUGCCGCGUGUGUGAAGAAGGUCUUCGGACUGUAAAGCACUUUAAGUUGGGAGGAAGGGCAGUAAGUUAAUACCUUGCUGUUUUGACGUUACCAACAGAAUAAGCACCGGCUAACUUCGUG